UUUUUAUAUCGUAAAAUGGAUGUAACAUUUUAAAACUUUUUUGAAAGGUGAGAGAGAAAAACGUGUGAACCCAUAAACUUUAAGAAAUUAUUUCCUUUUUCGCAUAGGGCUGCCAGUACUUUGACUAUAUGAAGCAUGAUGUGGUGGGAAGAGUAAGCUUUGGGGCACAAAAAGAUGAGUAAUUGGAUCAAUUACAAAUGAAAAGAUGGGUGUUCCUACAAAGUACAGAUAUUUAAUCCUUUAUUGGUUUUAGACAUUUCAGAACAAGAAAAGACAAUUGGUGAGGACCAAAUUCAGUGAAUUAUUCUAAAAGAAAACAACAUGUUGGAACUUUUUAUCAUUUGAAAUCUAAAUUGAUUUUUCCAAAAUCCAUCCAGAGCCUGGUUAAUCCAAUUGCGGUAACAUGGCACACAAGGUUCCUGUACUUCAAUGUCAUUUGCUUUAGAGGAUAACUGCCUGCUGCUUUGAAAUGGACCCAACAGACUCUCCAAAGUGACUUUCAACUCUGCUGUACACUCUGUAUUGUAAGUCAAACCAUCCUCAGUGAAUUCCUCUCAAACAUGAUGGAAUUUCAUCCAGGUGUUAUGGUAUGCUAUAGUAUCACAGAGGCAAGCAGAGAGAAACUUUUAUUUAAAAUAAAAAUAUAUAUAUGCUUCUGUAUUUAUAGAUACUUCCUGGAAAGAAAAAUAAGACACUAUUAAUGACAGUAACCCUUGGCAACAGCAUAAAGUGUUAGCAUAGAGGGUGAAAAAGCACAAAUUUACUUUUUCACUUCUAUACCUUUUGAGAAUUUUAAAUCUUGAGUCUAUAAGUUUAUGAGCUCAGAAACAUCCUUCCCAGCUAUGUUUAGGGAUUGCUUCUGCUUACCGGCUUACAUGUCCUUACAAUCUGAGCUCCUCUCCUUCUUGUUCCGGAGCCCUUGCCUAGAGCUCUCUUCAAUUUCAGAAGAAAGAUUCUUUUUAUUUUAUAUAUUUUCAAAGUAGUUUAAUCUAAGGGAGAAACAGGUUAAAUCUUUAUAGAACAUUUGCAAAUGUACUUUGCUCUGUGUUGGCAUGUCCAGUGGACUCAUUCGAACCAUUUCACAAUAAUAAUAAGAGCUAGUGUUUAUUGAGCCUGGUCUAAAUGCUUUACAUGCAUUAACUCAUUGAAAGCUCUCCAGAACUCCCUAUGAUAGUACUAAUUCUAUCCACAUUGUUCACAUGAGGAAAGUAAAACACUGAGAGCUUGAGUAACUUGCCAAAGAGCUUAAGUAACUUGCUGGAAAGAGCAGAAUCAAGAUUCAAAACCUGGCAGUCAGACUCUAGAGUUGCCCUCUUAAGCUAUGCUCUUUGCGUGCAAAAAUUUUAAAGAGAUUUUUUCUAUGAAUUAAAAAUGAAGAAAUGUAUGUAUGCGACUUCCCUGGUAGUCCAGAGGUUAAGACUCCAUGCUCCCAAUGCAGGGAGCUGGAGUUCAAUCCUUGGUCAGGGAACUAGAUCCCGCAUGCUGCAACUGAAAAAAGAUCCCACAUGCUGCAACUAAAGAUCCCGCACGUCGCAACGAAGACCCUGCAUGACACAACAAUGACCUUGCGAGCCGCAACUAAGACCCGGUGCAGCCAAAUAAAUAAAUAAAUAUUAGGUAAAGAAAAAAGAAAUGUGUGUAUGGAUUUGAUCUAGUUCACUGUAAGUUUUUCAAAGUAAAAUUUUGGCUAGCUAGUUUCUAUUCAACAUGUUAUUUUAUUAUGAAUUGCUUUCCUUUCCUCCUGCUUUAUAUUAUACUUUAUAUAUAUAUAUAUAUAUAUGUAUAUAUAUAAACAUAUAUAUAUUUACUUUUGGGAAGUUUGUAUACAAGUUACAGUAUCUAUGGGUCUGAUAGAAUUGGGGACUGCUGGCUAGGGCAAUAGUUCCCAGUCUUUUGGAUUUCAAAAAAAGAUGGUAGUAGCUAUAGUACAAUGAAGAUACUAUGUUUAGUGGUCCCUUGACGAGUAGAUUCUCUCACUGACCUUUCAAGAUUAGAAUGCAGUUGUUGUAACUCAGUAUCCGUUGAGGCUGCCGUUUUCCCUUGGGGAUUUGUGGAAACUCGACGCCUUAAUUUCAAGCUUUGUGUGAGUACAGGGCCCUUUCUAUAUCCUUCCUAUGUCUCCACUCAGCUACUGCACUUGGGCACAAAGUUCAAGCCUAUCAGUAAUUUCCAUGAAAGCAAAAUAAAAUAAAGAAGCAGUACUUUUACUGAAGAUUUGGUGUCAGGCAAGUGGCAUCUGUUGUCUGUCACCAGAAGUAGAAGUCCAAGCACUUCUGCCCACUGCAUGUUAUUAUCAAAGUCUCCAAGGAAAACACAACACUGUCAAGCACUGGAAGGAACGAUGCUUUACUCACGUAAAGAGACAGGGCAAGAUCAGCUUCAGGAGUGCACAAUGGUUUCCCAUAGCCUGCGGGUCCCUCUCAGCAGCCUGCAUGAACCCCUCUUGUGCGGCAACAGAAGGACCUCAUCAGUUUCCUGCAGGGGACAGAUAUAGCAGUGGGGCUGGUCAGGUGUCAUAUGACACACACACACUAAACAGAACAAAAGAGUACACAUUGGGUGUGAAACACGGAAAGAUAUUCCCACACAGGUGACAAGUCUAACACAGGCUUCAGGUGCACUUUAUCUCUUGAUAAGUAAAUGUUCCAGGUCCCAGGCCCAUUCUUAUGCAACCAAGAAGAGACUGAAAGACUGUGUGCAUGAGACUGCCUUUCCAAAUAUUUAGAAAUAUCAUAGGGAAAUGAUCUAGAAAAGUACAGUGCAACAAAGUGCUAGGAGGCUGAGUGAGGAGGGAUUAGAGCAGGAAGGCAAGGGUAAGAGGAAAAGGAUAAGAAAAUGUGGUGAGAAAAUGGGAUAUUAAAGUUAGAAAUGCAUUAGAUCUUUUUCCUAAUGUGACUUAAAAUACCUAAAAUGACAGAUAAAUAUGACAUCUAUGGUUAAUAAUUUAAGUGGCUUAAAUACUUUUUUAAAGCUGGAAAUGCUAAAAAUAUUCUCUACAUGAAACACAAUGUGUCAUCAUUCAUUGCAUCUGAAAACAUUGAGUUAGUAGCAAAAUGUGGAGGAAAAAAUAUCCAUUCCAAGGAAAUUUCUAAAUCAAACUGCAAAGAUAUUAACAGAUAACGUUAUUAGUUUAAAAAUAAUUAUUGUCUAUAUUAAGCACGAAAUUCAACCAGAUUUUUAAUUAAAUAAAUAACUUGCCAACUGUUGUAGUCAAGUAUUUACAU